rnacentral:rRNA from 1 species
CGAACGCUGGCGGCGUGCUUAACACAUGCAAGUCGAACGAGAAAGUUUCCUUCGGGAAGCGAGUAGAGUGGCGCACGGGUGAGUAACGCGUAGGUAAUCUACCCUUAUAUUUGGGAUAACAUUGGGAAACUGGUGCUAAUACCGGAUGGUCUUUUUCUAAUGCGAGUUAGAUAGAGUAAAGGUGGCCUCUUCAUGAAAGCUACCGUAUAGGGAUGAGCCUGCGUACCAUUAGCUAGUAGGUGGGGUAACGGCCCACCUAGGCAACGAUGGUUAGCGGGUCUGAGAGGAUGAUCCGCCACACUGGAACUGGAACACGGACCAGACUCCUACGGGAGGCAGCAGUGAGGAAUAUUGCGCAAUGGGGGCAACCCUGACGCAGCGACGCCGCGUGAGUGAGGAAGGUUUUCGGAUCGUAAAGCUCUGUCAGAAGGGAAGAAGUGUUAUAUGGUUAAUACCCAUAUAAUUUGACGGUACCUUCAGAGGAAGCACCGGCUAACUCC